CCAGAGUAUCCAGGUCCUUCUCAGAGAAUUAAAAAGCCUGUACAGGUCUACAUAUUGGUAUUUUUAAUUGAUGAUAAGCUGGAAUAAUAUUAAUACACACAAAGCACGUGUUGUAACUUUCAUUAUGCUUCCCUAGAGGUGGAACAAUCCAAAGUUUUAAUCAGAGAAGGUGGUGUUCAGUUGCUGCUUACAAUAGUUGAUACCCCAGUAUUUGGAGAUGCAGUGGAUAACAGUAAUUGCUGGCAGCCUGCUAUCAAUUACAUUGAUAGUAAAUUUGAGGACUACCUAAAUGCAGAAUCGCAAGUGAACAGAUGUCAGAUGCCUGGUAACAGGGUGCAGUGUUGUUUAUACUUCAUUGCUCCUUCAGGACAUGGAGACAGAUCUCAUUAUGUUGCCCAGGGUGAUCCUUGAUCUCCUGGCCUCAAGUGAUCCUCCAACCUUGGUCUCCCAAAGUGCUGGGAUUACAGAUGUGAACUACCACACCCAGUCAACGUGCAGAAGGUUUUCAGUUUGAUGUAGUCUGAUGUAGUCUCAUGUAUUUAUCCUUGUUGUUGUUGCCUGAGCUUUUGGUGUGAUAUCCAAAAAUAUCAUUGCCAAGAUCAAUAUCAAGAAACUUUCCCCCUAUGUUUCUUACAGAAAUUUUAUGGUUUCAGAUUUUUCAUCUAUUUUGAGUAUAUUUUUGUGUAUGAUGUAAGAUAAGGGUCCAGUCUCCCCAGUGUUGGAUAUCCAAUUUUCAUAACACCAUUUAUUGAAGAGAU
rnacentral:lncRNA from 1 species